UGUUGUUUCCACUCAGUAAUUUCACUUAUGAAAUGGAGAAAAAACAGGGAAAAUUGCCACGGAGGGCAAUUUUAGGAAGCCAGGACAUGGAUGUCCUUGCUUCCGGCCCGUCCGGUUCGAUAUUCCAUAGCCAUUUCAUUAGUGAAAUCUGAGUGGAAACAACA
rfam:Lachnospiraceae bacterium 28-4 genomic scaffold acPFn-supercont1.1, whole genome shotgun sequence.